rnacentral:lncRNA from 1 species
GGAACCUCUUCCCACUGUAUAUGCAGUAUGCUGCACCCUCUGGAUGAGAGUGGUGUGCAGACCUACAGCUUUCUGACUACACAACUGAAGAACCCGCAGGAUGGAUUCACUCGGCUCACUCUUCCAUUGCCACGCCCUGCAUAACCAAAACAGGAUGACCUCAUCACCAGCCUCCACUCAUCAGACUUACUCACCCAGCAUCUCCAGCAUGGCUGCACUCAGCUGGUUCCACUCCCCUGGCAUGGUGGCACCCUCCUUGGCAACGGCACAGUUUAACAUGUGGUACCACUCAUGUCCCCCAGAGGGCACAGCUUCCUGCCCUCGCCCAACAGCACUGCCAACAAGUCUGUGCUUGUCCCAGAGAUGA